UACGGAGGGGGCGAGCGUUAUUCGGAAUCAUUGGGCGUAAAGGGCGCGUAGGCGGCCCCGUAAGUCUUGGGUGAAAGCCCUCGGCUCAACCGAGGAAUUGCCUUGGAUACUGCGGGGCUCGAGGCUGGAAGAGGACAGUGGAAUUCCUGGUGUAGCAGUGAAAUGCGUAGAUAUCAGGAGGAACACCGAUGGCGAAGGCAGGUCUCUGGGCUGACACUGACGCUCAUGCACGAAAGCGUGGGGAGCAAACAGG
rnacentral:rRNA from 1 species